rnacentral:rRNA from 1 species
GAUGAACGCUGGCGGCGUGCUUAACACAUGCAAGUCGAACGGAAAGGCCCAAGCUUGCUUGGGUACUCGAGUGGCGAACGGGUGAGUAACACGUGGGUGAUCUGCCCUGCACUUCGGGAUAAGCCUGGGAAACUGGGUCUAAUACCGGAUAGGACGAUGGUUUGGAUGCCAUUGUGGAAAGUUUUUUCGGUGUGGGAUGAGCUCGCGGCCUAUCAGCUUGUUGGUGGGGUAAUGGCCUACCAAGGCGUCGACGGGUAGCCGGCCUGAGAGGGUGUACGGCGACAUUGGGACUGAGAUACGGCGCAGACUCCUACGGGAGGCAGCAGUGGGGAAUAUUGCACAAUGGGCGCAAGCCUGAUGCAGCGACGCCGCGUGGGGGAUGACGGCCUUCGGGUUGUAAACUCCUUUCGCUAGGGACGAAGCGUUUUUGUGACGGUACCUGGAGAAGAAGCACCGGCUAACUACGUG